rnacentral:rRNA from 1 species
UUUGAAAUCUGGCCCUCGGGUCCGAGUUGUAAUUUGUAGAGGAUGCUUUUGGUGCGGUGCCUUCCGAGUUCCCUGGAACGGGACGCCAUAGAGGGUGAGAGCCCCGUCUGGUUGGACACCAAUCCUCUGUAAAGCUCCUUCGACGAGUCGAGUAGUUUGGGAAUGCUGCUCUAAAUGGGAGGUAUAUGUCUUCUAAAGCUAAAUACCGGCCAGAGACCGAUAGCGCACAAGUAGAGUGAUCGAAAGAUGAAAAGCACUUUGAAAAGAGAGUUAAAAAGUACGUGAAAUUGUUGAAAGGGAAGCGCUUAUGACCAGACUUGGGCUUGGUAGAUCAACCUGGGUUCUCCCUGGUGCACUCUUCCUCGUCCAGGCCAGCAUCAGUUCGCUGCGGGGGAUAAAGGUUUCGGGAAUGUGGCUCCCUCGGGAGUGUUAUAGCCCGUUGCGUAAUACCCUGUGGUGGACUGAGGUUCGCGUUCUGCAAGGAUGCUGGCGUAAUGGUCAUCAGUGACCCGUCUUGAAACACGGACCAAGGAGUCGUCUUCGUAUGCGAGUGUUCGGGUGUUAAACCCCUACGCGUAAUGAAAGUGAACGCAGGUGAGAGCUUCGGCGCAUCAUCGACCGAUCCUGAUGUUCUCGGAUGGAUUUGAGUAAGAGCAUACGGGGCCGGACCCGAAAGAAGGUGAACUAUGCCUGUAUAGGGUGAAGCCAGAGGAAACUCUGGUGGAGGCUCGCAGCGGUUCUGACGUGCAAAUCGAUCGUCAAAUAUGGGCAUGGGGGCGAAAGACUAAUCGAACCUUCUAGUAGCUGGUUUCCGCCGAAGUUUCCCUCAGGAUAGCAGUGUUGAACUCAGUUUUAUGAGGUAAAGCGAAUGAUUAGGGACUCGGGGGCGCUAUUUAGCCUUCAUCCAUUCUCAAACUUUAAAUAUGUAAGAAGCUCUUGUUACUUAAUUGAACGUGGGCAUUCGAAUGUAUCAACACUAGUGG